GAGUUUGAUCAUGGCUCAGAUUGAACGCUGGCGGCAUGCUUUACACAUGCAAGUCGAACGGCAGCACAGGGAGCUUGCUCCUGGGUGGCGAGUGGCGAACGGGUGAGUAAUGUAUCGGAACGUGCCUGGUAGUGGGGGAUAACCACUCGAAAGAGUGGCUAAUACCGCAUGAGAUCUCUGGAUGAAAGCGGGGGACCUUUGGGCCUCGCGCUACUGGAGCGGCCGAUAUCAGAUUAGGUUGUUGGUGGGGUAAAGGCCUACCAAGCCUGCGAUCUGUAGCUGGUCUGAGAGGACGACCAGCCACACUGGGACUGAGACACGGCCCAGACUCCUACGGGAGGCAGCAGUGGGGAAUUUUGGACAAUGGGCGCAAGCCUGAUCCAGCAAUGCCGCGUGCAGGACGAAGGCCUUCGGGUUGUAAACUGCUUUUGUACAGAACGAAAAGUCUCUGGCUAAUAUCUGGAGAUCA
rnacentral:rRNA from 1 species